UUCUUUUUCCUUUAUGUGCAGCGCUCAACAAAGGGACAGGGAUGCUAUGGACUAAAAAUCGUGCUGAUGGAAGCGGCAGACAUUACAACGUCACCUGCAACGAUGCCUUAUCAUAUGUGCGUACGUGUGCAAAUCGAGAAUGGGAUCGACGGACAAAAGAGAUGCAAUUUUCUUCUCGUCGCAGUAGGAGCGAGCAUACAGCGAUCGGGUGAUACUUGGAGAAUCAAGUAGGGACGAAUGAAAGUGUGU